UACCACAAUAUAAGUCGUUUUAUAAUACCAAUGAAUCAUUAAUGUUAUUUUUCCUAUUAUACCCUUAAAUAUUUAUUAUUCUCUGUCCUUUCAAUCAUGUUAAUUUGUCUUUCCAAUACCAUUAAUGAAGGAUAAUUUUGUAAAAUUCUUCAUAAUUUAUCUUUUUCAUACCAUAAUUAUUACAUUUCUUAAAACGUGUGAAAAGUCAAAAACGACUUAUAAUAAAAAACGGAGGGAGUAUAUAUCCUACUACUUGCCUAGGUUUUCCAUCCAGAGCGCAAAGCAUCACUAUCAACAACAACCUUGUAGAUUCCACCGCCACUUCUGACUUCUGAGCAACAAUGAAUACGGUUAAGAAAAUCAAGAGUGAGUCAACCGAGUUGCCUGACUGUAUUAUAUCGUAUAUCUUUUCCAAGGUAAGUUUGAAGAAUUUGGUGAAAACUAGUGCUUUGUCCAAACAAUGGUAUCUCGAAUGGGGAUUAAGGAAGGAUCUCAAUUUUGAUCUCCAUAACAUGUUUGAUUAUAAUCCAAUUACAGACUUACCAAUAGCCUUUCCACUCUUUCAACAACUUCAAUCUCAAUUUGCCGCAAGUUUGGAUAAUUUCAUGCAGAAAUAUCCUGGUGACAUGAUCAGUUCAAUCCGAGUUAAUUUUCCAUUAUGUGUCGAUCAUACUUAUGCCCUUGAUGGAUUGGUUCAUAAAGGAGUUCUUAAGGGCGCCAAUCGUAUCGAGCUGCUAUUGCCAUAUACAUAUAAAACGGACAAAAGUGAUUUAAAAAUAAGGCCAUAUUUAUUUCCUUCCUUGUCUGGCCCUAAUUCUCUCACAUAUCUACGCUUACGGAACUGCCAUAUAGCAACUAUGGAAUUUUCUUGGUUGAAGAAUUUGAGAACUCUUGUGUUAACUCAUGUUCCUCUGAAGCAGAAUUCGCUUCCGGAUAUGUGUUUUAACUGCAUCCGCCUUGAGAACUUCACUCUUAAUCAAUGUAGGUUUCUAUCUGACAUAAAAAUAACUAGUCCAACCUUGCUUCAUUUGAAGAUUUACUGCGGCGGGCGUUUCUGGACAAAUAAUCUUGAUAUCAUUGCAUCAAAUCUUUUAUCCCUGGAAUAUUCUUCCAAGUUUUACACUCAUAUAUACCACAAGGUGAACAUUAACUCUCCUAUGUUAUCCAAGCUUACCUACACAUGUGGUAAAAUAUUUAAUCUGAGUUUUCUAGACUGACAAAUGUUAGAAAAAUUAUGUUGAAUGGACUCUCCAAAGAUGGCGAUGUCAUAACUCGUUUGUUUUCUACAUGUCUCCAACUGGAAGAUGUCUCCAUUAACAUGUGCCGGUUCGAUACGCGUGUUUUCAAAAUCAUCGGUGAAAAACUGCGUCGUUUGAGCAUAGCUCAUUGUUACCAUAGGAAAUACCGUAAUUGUUACCAUAGGAAAUACAGUCCUUGUAAGUUGGAAAUUCAUGCUUUGAAUCUCUCAUCCUUUGAAUAUAGAGGUAACAAGCAGAUUAGGAGCAUAAUCUCUAUUGAGGCUCCAAAGUUAUUGAAGGUUUUUUGGGAUGCAGGUUUUAACAAGAUAAAUAUAUAUAACUUUGCUACAAUUGCAAGCUUACAUCAUCCUGAGAAUUUAACUAUGCAUAUGAGCCUUUCCCAGGUAUCCAAGUUAAUGAAGGAAUAUAUGGAUCAAUAUCAAAAUCUUAUACAAUUGAAAUUAUAUAUUGGUGGAGCAUAUGAUCCUAAUAUGGACUGCUUUUGGAUUUUAGAUAAUGCAAUGGCUUCUCAACAUCUCCAAAAACUUUCUCUAACAAUGAGUUAUUCAACUUUUUAGUUUUCUGGUCAUUUUUUUAUUAUGUUAAUAUUUUUCUAAAUAGUCAUAUGCAAAUCAAUCUUGACUCGAACAUGAAGUUUUAGUUUCCUCUUUUAAAAUUUACAGUCUUUGUCUA